GCUGUUUGCAACAGUGUAUGGGACCUUCCCAUGGUUUUCCACAAAAUGGGAGAAAAGUAUAAGAAGCUCUUCCUUCUAUGGAGCCCCAAUACAAUGCUUCGUACCUAGAAGGCUCUCAGAAACAGAAAUCUGGUGAAUUAGUUAAAUUAUAUGCUUCUCUGCCCUCUGCACUCCGUAAGAAAAAAAGAAA
rnacentral:lncRNA from 1 species